AUUGAACGCUGGCGGCAGGCCUAACACAUGCAAGUCGAGCGGAUGAAGGGAGCUUGCUCCUGGAUUCAGCGGCGGACGGGUGAGUAAUGCCUAGGAAUCUGCCUGGUAGUGGGGAUAACGUCCGGAAACGGGCGCUAAUACCGCAUACGUCCUGAGGGAGAAAGUGGGGGAUCUUCGGACCUCACGCUAUCAGAUGAGCCUAGGUCGGAUUAGCUAGUUGGUGGGGUAAAGGCCUACCAAGGCGACGAUCCGUAACUGGUCUGAGAGGAUGAUCAGUCACACUGGAACUGAGACACGGUCCAGACUCCUACGGGAGGCAGCAGUGGGGAAUAUUGGACAAUGGGCGAAAGCCUGAUCAAGCCAUGCCGCGUGUGUGAAGAAGGUCUUCGGAUUGUAAAGCACUUUAAGUUGGGAGGAAGGGCAGUAAGUUAAUACCUUGCUGUUUUGACGUUACCAACAGAAUAAGCACCGGCUAACUUCGUG
rnacentral:rRNA from 1 species